UGACGACGAGACGCUAAGUCGUUGAAGCAGUGUACGUCAGACUUCCAAGAAAAGCUCGCAAUGUCAUAAAUAAAAAUGCCUGUACCAUAACCGACACAGGUGGGUAGGUAGAGUAUACUAAGGGGCGCGAGAUAACUCUCUCUAAGGAACUCGGCAAAAUGACUCCGUAACUUCGGGAGAAGGAGUGCCUUAUUUAUAAGGUUGCAAUAACAAGAUCCAAGCAACUGUUUAUCAAAAACACAGGUCUCCGCUAAGUCGUAAGACGAUGUAUGGGGGCUGACGCCUGCCCAGUGCCAGAAGGUUAAAGAAGUUGGUUAGUGUAUGCGAAGCUGAUGACUGAAGCCCUGGUGAACGGCGGCCGUAACGAUAACGGUCCUAAGGUAGCGAAAUUCCUUGUCGGGUAAGUUCCGACCCGCACGAAAGGCGUAAUGAUUUGGAUACUGUCUCGGAGAGAGGCUCGGUGAAAUAGACUUGUCUGUGAAGAUGCGGACUACCUGCACCAGGACAGAAAGACCCUAUGAAGCUUUACUGUAACUUGAAAUUGGAAUUGGACUUUGCUUGCGCAGUAUAGGUGGGAAGCGUUGAAGAUAUUCUUGCGGGAGUAUUGGAGCUAUCAGUGAGAUACCACUCUUGUAAUGUUAGAUUUCUAACUUUGAACCAUAAUCUGGUCAAAGAACAGUUUCAGGUGGGCAGUUUGACUGGGGCGGUCGCCUCCCAAAUGGUAACGGAGGCGUACAAAGGUUUCCUCUGAACGGAUAGAAAUCGUAUCUAGAGUGUAAAGGCAUAAGGAAGCUUGACUGUGAGACCUACAAGUCGAGCAGGGACGAAAGUCGGUCUUAGUGAUCUGACGGUACUGAGUGGAAAGGCCGUCACUCAACGGAUAAAAGUUACUCUAGGAUAACAGGCUGAUCUCCCCCAAGAGUUCACAUCGACGGGGAGGUUUGGCACCUCGAUGUCGGCUCAUCGCAUCCUGGGGCGGUAGUACGUCCCAAGGGUUGGGCUGUUCGCCCAUGAAAGCGGUACGCGAGCUGGGUUCAGAACGUCGUGAGACAGUUCGGUCCAUAUCCGGUGUAGGCGUUAGAAUAUUGAGAGGAGCCUUCUUUAGUACGAGAGGACCGAGAAGGACACACCGCUGGUGUACCAGUUAUCGUGCCAACGGUAAACGCUGGGUAGCUAUGUGUGGAGUGGAUAACCGCUGAAAGCAUCUAAGUGGGAAGCCCACCUCAAGAUGAGUAUUCUC
rnacentral:rRNA from 1 species